AUUAAACACAAUUGGGAAUUGUGCCAGAAAUGGAUUAUUCAUUACUUCUAAUAACUAAUAACCAGGUGCCUCCGGUCAAGUUAAUUUGCUGAUAAAAGGCAAUGCAUGUUACUGUGGAGAGUGCAUGUAAAAAGUGAGUGUGAGAGUAAGCAGUACGAAUGGGGGACAAACCUCUUGGUCUUUCUCUGUCCUUCUUUAUUUACACAUUUAUUUUUAUCUUUUGCCUUACUCUGCCAAAGCAUUUCUAACUAUAUAACAGGUCAAAUAAUAACCCAGAUUCAGAGUGACAUUGCAGCAUACCAUGCAAAAAUGUUUGAGUUCAAUCUUUAAAUAAAUUGGAUUUUGAGCUGUAUCAACAGUUCUGACAAUCAUCCUGAUCAUGUUUAGUAAAUAGAUAAUCAAAAAGUUAAAUAGCAUGCAUCUUAACUUUUUUUUAACAAUAUCUGCAGGUUAAAGGGGAAGUUAAGGAUUUUUAAAGUAAGGGCUCCAUUCAAAGGUUACAACAGUUAAUAUCUUACCUGCAGUAGAAACUUCUCUUAGUAUCUUCAUUUAGUAUAAACCCAGAUUAGAUGGUCGUGGAGGCUAAAGCUAUUGGCUAUUCCUAGGGGUGGCCAAGCUUUUAGGAGAUUUCCAUUAUGAAUGUCAGCCUGGGAGUUUCAUGUAUUGUUUUUACCUGCUGCUAACACUCACCACUAGAUGCUGGCAAGAUCCCCUGGUGUGGAGGGUAUGAGGUGUGCCGCAUAUCCAUCACCUGCUGGAAUAUAAGAAGGUGGAGCUGUCAGCACUCCAGUACCUGAGUGUUAACCUAUGUGGAAUCCUCAAGUCCUGGUUUCACGCUCUUGCAACCUUCAGCUCUGACUCAAAGUCCUCAGUAUUGGAUCCUGCCUCAGCCUAAGGAUUCUCAAGUCCUGAUUCCAUGCUCAUGCAACCUUCAGCUCUGGCUCAAAGUCCUCAGUGUUGGAUCCCGCUUCAGCCUAAGCAUUCAAACCUCAGAAGAAUCCAAGUUUGGUUCAAUCUCCAGCUGACAGCUCAGUACCAAUUCCUCCAGACAAGCGAACCCAGCUCAACCAACUAAUCACCAAAGACUCAUCAGGUAAAUUAAUCUCCAAAUUAUUCAUACGGAUAUCCAUUGUCAAUACUCACCAAAGCCUCCGCAGAAAAUACUCACUGUCAUCCUGGACUAUUCACCAGUGCCACAGCAGUGUCUGUUCAGUCCUCCCAGGCUUUGUAUAAUUCCUCCACACCAACCCCUCUCAUCAAAGACAGUAAGCUCAAGUCUCAUUUAAUUCCCAGUACUCCGUUCAUCUUCAGAGAACUUACCCGUCCUCCUUUCCCGUGCAGUGCUGUGCCUCCAGUUCCAAUUAAAUUCACAUAUCCUGUCAAAUAAACUUGUUAAACUUUUCUUCUACCUCCUGAGUGUCCUUCUGUUUGUGGGUCAAAUCUAUAAAGAACACUACGACAGAACACCCAGGCCAAUUUGACCCAGCAGAAACACUCAGGAGGACUUUAACCGAACAUAGCCUCCAAAUACAAUCACAGGGAUCUACACUUCAUACCCUCCUGGAACAACAACGGCAUUCCAGUCAACGAUUGGAUCAAAUGGCCUCAAUCCUGCAACACGCCCUGAACCUCCGGACAUCCCAGUCACCAGAGCAAGCCGCUGAGUCAUCUGCCUCACUUCCAGUGUCUCAACAACUUUUGUACUCUCGUGACGUCACCCCACCUAAUCUGGAAAAUUACUCCGGUGAGAUCAGUAAUUGUGGAGGGUUCUUGUUACAAUGUUCAUUGGUGUUUAACCGUUCACCUCAGUGUUUCCCCCAUGACGAUGCUAAAAUUGCAUUUAUUAUAGGAUUGUUAACUGGAAAAGUGCUUCAUUGGGCAGAAGGCAGAUUCACAGACUGUUGUCAAUUCGGUUGCUCUUUUGAUGAAUUUAUUCAGGAAUUUAAACAAACUUUUUGUUCUGAAUUAGAUCAAACUAGUGUGGCCCGGCGCCUGAUGGCGCUAAAACAAGGAAAUAGACCUGUGUCAGAAUAUUCCAUUGAUUUUCGUACUUUGGCAGCAGCAUCUGGCUGGAAAUCCCAUGCUCUUAAAUCUGCCUUUUUUCAAUCUUUGAAUGAACACUUGAAGGAUGAAUUAGCCUUGGUUGAAGAACCCAAGACUUUAAAUGACUAUAUAACACUGGCCAGUCGAAUGGACAAACGCAUGAGAGAAAGAAAGCAUUCUAGAAAAGAGCAGUUUGAUGAUAAGACUUGGCCAUCAGUCCAAUCACAAUUAACCCGCCCACAGAUGAGUGUAAAGUCCCCAGAACCAGAACCCAUGCAGUUGGGGCGCACCCGGUUAACUCCGGAAGAGGAGCAGCGCCGUAGGCACUCUAAUCAGUGUUUAUAUUGUGGUUCUCCAGAUCACUUUGUGACAGCUUGUCCGGUUUGGCCAAAAGAGAGGGUCCGCCACCUUUAAAGGGGGAAAUGCUGGACCAAAAAAUUAACAAAGAAAAAAACCCUAGACUGACCUUGUCAGUGACCCUCCUCCUUCAUCAAGAUCAGUUAAAUCUUUCUGCUCUCAUUGACUCUGGGUGCGAACAAAACUUAAUUGACUAGUCACUUGUACAACAAGCGAAAAUAGCAGUAGAACCCCUGGAUCCUCCCCAUCAAGUCCUUGCUCUUGAUGGAAAACCCUCCAUCAAGUAACUCACCGCACCUUACCUAUAGAGCUAAUAAUUUCUGGCAAUCAUCCUGAAAAAAUAACCUUUUUUGUCUUUCCCAUUUUGUAAAGUUCUCUGGUUUUAGGUUUUCCCUGGUUAUACAAACAGAACCCCCAUCUAAACUGCUCUGAGGGUCGAGUCGAAGCCUGGUCCACUCAUUGUUUAUAGUCAGCCGCCCCUUCCAUUUCCAUUCCGGUCAGUUCAGAGGAGACCGAACCAUCUGAUCUGUCACAACUUCCCGAGGAAUACCUGGACUUAAAACAAGUUUUCAAUAAAUCCAAAGCCACACUUCCACCCCAUCACCCGUAUUACUGUGCUAUUGACCUUCUUCCUGGAGCACCGCUCCCGUCCAGCUGACUUUACAAUAUCUCACGACCAGAAAGGCAAACAAUGGAGAAGUACAUCUCUGAAUCUCUUGCUGCAGCAAUCAUCUGUCAGUCAUCCUCUCCGUUCAAACAGACCUGGAGAUAAGCCUGUGAAACCCGAUGCAUUGUCUCGCCAGUAUUCACCAGAUGACUCAGGUAAACAACCUACCACUAUUAUUCCCCCCAGUUGCAUAGUUGGUUCCCUUUCUUGGGAAAUUGAAAGUAUUGUCAACCAGGCUCUACAAUCCGAACCAGACCCCAGUACCGGUCCACCUAAGCGCACCUAUCUCCCCACAGCAGUUCGUUCUAAACUCAUUCACUGGUUUCAUUCACCUACGUUUUCUGCCCAUCCUGGCACUAGUCGAACCAUCGCUCUCAUCUCACGAAAGGUUUGGUGGCCAUCUGUACAUAAGGAUGUUAAGGAAUAUGUCAAAGCUUGUCAUGUUUUUGCCCACAAUAAAUCCUCUAACCAACCCCCAGCAGGUUUGCUUCAACCUCUCAGCAUCCCUAAAAGACCUUGGUCCCACAUCGGUUUGGAUUUUGUCACCAGCCUUCCAAGUUCACAAGGUAUGACCACCAUCCUGACCAUUAUUGAACGUUUCUCCAAGUCCUGUCACCUUGUGUCUCUUGGAAAACUCCCUUCGGCUCUCCAAACUGCCCAGCUGUUGGUCAAGCACGUUUUUCGUCUACACCGCAUACCUCAAGAAAUCCUCUCUGAUCGUGGCCCGCGAUACAGUGUUGACUCAGAGGGCAUAAACACAGAUAUUCAGAACCCUAUAUUCAGAACCUUCCUUCUACUUGGCUGUAACGUGACAAAAUCUGGAUGGUAGGAAUAGGAAAGAGGUAGGAACACCUUUGCAAAGUAUUGUAUUCAAUAUACUCUAACAAUUAUAUAUUUCAAAACAUGAUAGGUUGAUGAAAGUCUCAAACUAAACCAAGCCUUUGCGGUGAAAAAAAAUGCCACUUUGCAUCCCCUGUCUGUUAAAAGAAAAAAAAUGCACAGAUACACGAAUAUGGAGACACAUCCUAGUCUUGUCUAAGGUGUGGCAGAGAUGUAGACGAGAUAAAAAGGGGGUCACAACAAUGGAGCAGUCAGGAGCAAAGGUGCAGAAAGAUUGAGAGCAGCAUUAAAAAGGAAAAAAUAAAGGGUGUCCUUUUAUUUUCUUCAGCUUGUGUUCCCAAAACGGCACCGCUGAACCAUUAAAUUCUGCGGCAGUCACCUCUCACCCCGCCUCAUGUCUGACACAGAUCGGACUGUGGUGGCUUGACACCGGUAGUGGCCCUUGCCGUUUGUUGUCGAGUAAUGCCUGCUACCAUCAGCCUUGAACCCAUGUGUUCACAGGGGAGCGCACAAAAAGAGGGAGAGAGUGACAUUUUGGAGAAAAUAGGGAGGCACAAAGAGACUGAUUAAAAAAAAGCAUCACAGAAUUUGUGAGGGAUGGGAAAUGGUUGCACUAUUUUAUUUCAAAUACAUUUCUUGUUCUCUGCCUUUGAUGCUCAAGAAGACAGCUUUGCACGAUGAUAGAGAAUAGAAUCGAUUUCUGUGGUUCCGUUUUCAUGAAUAAUCCUACCGCUGCAAACAAUGCAGCAACAGAACUUAAUAUGUGAAACAAAUAAUGGCCCGUCACAGUUUUUUUUGUCUAUCUGACCUAUUUAUAUUUAAGUAAGAAUCUAUUUUACAAAAAAUUACCUUCUUUUUCUCUUACUUUUGUUGAUGGAGCCGCAUACUGGAGGAAAUUUACCUAUUUCUGGUUUAUGGAACACAACAUAAGCUGUUGUGAAUGAGAAACCUCACUUACAUAAGUGGUGAUUUGUUGUUUGCUGAUUUUGGAUAAUAAUUAAACUGCCAUUCUUACUUUGUCUUACUCUGCGAUGAAUCAGUCUGUAUCAUAGUAUGUUUGUUUCCACUCUUACAGUCAGAUGGGGUUCAACUAAAGUGUGAAGGCACCUAUUCUCUGUCAAAGUCAAUGCCUUUGACUUUACAGUGUGAUAUUAGAUUCCAUAGCAUUUUUGAGCAAGUUUACAAGGUUUUGUGACAACCACACAAGCCACUUUGUAACUAAUUUGAAGGUAUCCUGGUGGUAACUGUCCCCUUUGAUACUACCUAUUUUCUGAAAUGCACAAUCCCUCUUGCAUCAAAUCACCCCCAUAACAUGAUGCGGUCACCCCCAUACUUCACAGUUUGGAAGGGACUAUCACCAUAAUAGUUGGUAUGGCCAAACACUUACAUUUAGAUUCCAUUAGACGAUAGGCUAUGUCUCCACAAUUAAGGUAUUUGUCUCCAAGUCCAUUUGCAAACUGGAAUCUGGCUUUUUAAUUGCUUUUGGAAUAAUGGCUACUUCUGCACUAAAUGGCCUUGGGUCCAUGUCGGCCUUUUGGUACAUGUCCCCACUAACUUGAAGUGUUACUUUAAAAUAAGACAUAAGGUGGGUCUCGAUUAGUCUCAAAUGUUGUGAAUUAAGGUAUUAAAAGCUUACAAAGCCAUGACAUCAUCUGAGCUUUCCCAAAUUGCUGCAAGGUUCUUGUGAAUAACAUGAUAUAUUGACAAACAAAACAAAUGACAACAAACAACAUCUUCAUCCCUAAAAUCGAAUAUGCAGAAAGAAAUAUUCUGUCGAUGAUGAAACAAUAAGGACUACAAAUAGUCAUUCAUUUUGUACCAAUCAGUAUAUUUUCUUUUCAUUCUCAUUCACAUCUUUUUAUUUUCCUUCCAUUUUUUCUUACCUUUUUUAGCUUUGAACACUUCCUCCUAUUAAUUUGUAAUUUGUGUGAAGCAACUGGUUGGAGGCAUUCCAUUUUACUCUAAGUAACACUGUGUGAGAUGCACCUCUUCUCAGUCAAUUAAUAGGUCAUGUAGGACAUGAGGACAUGAGUUGGCAAAGUGCCUUCCUCUUUCUAACUAACUGAUAGCAUCACGAGAACAUUUGAUCUUAAGAAUAUUUUAGCUUUCCUAUAUACUAUUGAUUUCCAACCCUCAUUCUUCAUGUCCACUGUUUCCCUGAUUUUUAUGAAUUGGCCAUUACAAGACCACUGCAGCACUUCAUGGCCUCAUAGACCAGGCCUAUGGUUUAUGAGUUUUAGUUUUAUUUUCAGAUAAAAAUUCUAAAUACUAAGGCCAAGAAAACUACCAGUGGUUGUGAUCACAUCAUUUUCCCUCUACUUUUAGGUAACAAUAGGUUACCUUUUAUAACUUAAACUUUUUCGGUCCAAAAAGUGCAAAUUUCAGACUGUAUUUGUUAAGUUUACAAUAUUAUGUCAGUCACAGCCUUUGAGGUGACUGGAAUUUUGACAGGUAUGCCCACAGACACAGUGUGUUCUAACAAAACAUGUCUAUCUCCAGCGCUGAUUGGGCGACAAGUGGGGUACACCCUGGACUGGUUGCCACUCCAUCACAGGGCAACAAUGAGUCACACAGGACAAACAACCAUGAAUCCACAUACACACUCACACAUAAGGGAAAUUUAGAGUAACCAGUUAACCUAACCGUCAUGUUUUUGGACUGUGGGAGGAAGCUGGAGUUUAUUCAACACAUGGAGUCAGGUAAAUCAUAUGAUGCUCUGUUUGACCACACAUUUUGAAACUGAUUCCAAGAUAGAGCAGCUUGCAGAUCACUCAUAUCUUCAGCAAGUCUCUAGAGCUGUCUGAGGUUUCCAUGUGCUUCAGAAGCUCCACCAUCAUUCUAUUUCCAAAAAAACGCAUUAUCAUGGGGUAAAUGACUACAGAUUUGUCGCCCUUAUGUCUGUGGUCAGUUUCUGGUGUUGUCACAGACUGUCAAUUACCAGGUUGAUGCAGUCAAUCUGGUGCUACACUUCAUCCUGCACCACCUUGAACAUCCAGGGACAUACACCAGGAUCGUGUUUGUAGCCUUCAGCGUGUCCUUCAACACCUUAAACCCAGACAUCCUCCACCAGAAGCUGAUCCAACUCAAAGUACUGGCUUCCUCCUGUCAGGAGCUAACCAGCUUCCUGACUAAUUGACAGCAGCAGGUGAGGCUGGGGAGCAUCUUCUUCCACACAAUGACCAUCAGCACCAGUACCCCCUCAGGGAUGUGUUCUAUCUCCACUCCCCUUCUUCCUGUACACAAGUGACUGAGCCUCAGUAGACCUGUCUGUGAAACUCCUGAGGUUUGCAGAUGACACCACUGUUAUUGGUCAAAACAGUGGAGAUGAUGGUGGACUUCAGGAGAAUACUCUCCACAUCCUUCACCACCUUCAACAACACUGUCUGCUGUGGAUCACUUCCAGUUUCUAGGAACCACCCUUUCUAGGGACCUGAGAUGUUCCUCACACAGAGAUACUGUAUGGAAAUAGGCCCAGGAGAGCCUAAACUUCUGGCUGCAAUUCAAGUACAACCUUUCACAUGAGCUGCUGGUCUUUUUCUACACUGUGUGGUUUGCCUCAUACACAAAGCAGGACAGGUCCAAACUACAACAAACAAUUAGGUCUGCAGAGAGGAUUAUGCAGACUGACCAUUCCUCCUUUCUUGACUUGUACAGGUCUAGGGUCAGGAAAAGGGUAACUACCAUCUCUGCAGAUCCCAUACAUUCUGGAUACAAGCUAUCUAGACUUUUACCUUCAGGUUUGCACUACAGAGUGCUAUUUGCAAAAACCAGAAGCCACAGAGACAGUUUCUUUCCUCUUUCUUUAAUGAACACUUAACAGAGUGGUUGAUACCAUGCAUAUUUGCACAAUUGAAUCAUGUUAUUCCUUCAGGUAAAAACACUGUAUAUGUAGUAAAAAUACUUUUAUUUCCCUUUGAUAUUUCAGAAAAAAAAAUUUCCUCAUUGAGAACAAGUGUUUGUGUGCAGAAACUUGGCAAAUAAAGCUGAUUCUGAAAAACACAACAAAACUACUGAAGACUUCUACAGCCACCUGUCAUCCAUUUUGUGGCAGCAUUUACAUCGGAUGUAACAUUAUUGCACAAGAAAUUGUCAGUAUUUUUUUCAUUAAAAACUGAGAAUUGGGAAUUUG